UAGCUCAAGGUUUGUAAGCGCACCAAUCAGUGCUCUGUGUCUAGUUAAUCUGGGGAGGACUUGGAGAACUUUUAUGUCUAGCUAGAGGAUUGCAAAUACACCAAUCAGCACUAUGUGUCUAGCUCAGGGAUUGUACAUGCACCAAACAGCACCCUGUCAAAAUGGACAAAUCAGCUCUCUGUGAAACAGACCAAUCAGCUCUCUGUAAAACAGACCAAUCAGCUCUCUGUAAAACAGACCAAUCAGCUUUCUGUAAAAUGGACCUAUCAGCAGGAUGUGGGUGGGGCCAGAUAAGAGUAUAAUAGCAGGCUGCGGGAGCCAGUACUGGUAACCAGCUGCAGUACUUUUUGUGUGGUGUGGAAGUGUUUGUUUUUUGCAAUAGAUUUUUGUUGCAGUUUAGGUUUGUAUUUUCUUUGUUUUGUAGUGCUUAUUAUGAAGGUUCGUAGGUUUAUGUCUGUAGGCCAGGCAGGUCAUUAAACUUAACAAAGAAUAAGUAAGUCGGGAGAGGGGAAUAGAAAUCUCCACAUACAUAUUCUUAAAAGCUGUAACACUCACCACAAAGAUCUGCUGAGUGAAGUCUGUGAGACGAACGCACCAAGUCUGGACGCUCUGUCAGGCUACAUUUUACGUUUUUGGGAGUGAGCAGGUGUUAUUCUGUUCCCCGGGUUGGUUUUGAAGUCAUGGCUCUCAAGUAAUUUUUGUGCUUCUCAAAAGUGCUGGAAUUGCAAAGAUCAACAUCAAAAGCUACAAACUGGAAACAGAGGAAGAUACUAGCCCCGUGUUUCUGAUUCAGUAUCACUGAAAUACUUUGGAACCAUAUAAAGGGCAAAGUACAUUCCACAUGUUGAAGGACAGUGCCUGGCCCUGUGGGGUGUCAUCCCCAAGCUGUAGGCAUAGUGGCAACCCAGGGGUUCAUCUCAACUCCCAUCAGAGUUCAAACAUUGAAUUAGUUGUGCAAUGGAAGGAGUAUUACCAGGACCCAGAUGCAGCCCAAGGAAAAAAGAAAACAAAAGGAGACACACACAGUAAGUGGUGUCUCAUUGUGAUUUGGAUUUGCAUUUCCCUAGUGAUUAGUGAUGGGAAACAUAUUUUCAUGUGUUAUUGGUCAUUUGUUUAUCUUCUUUGGAGAAAUAUUUAUUCAAGUCCUCUGCUCUCUUUUUUUUUUUUUUUUUUAGUCAGAGUCUCGCUGUAUUAGUCUGCUCUCACACUGCUCAUAAAGACAUACCUGAAGCUGGGUAAUUCAUAAAAGAAAGGUUUAAUUGACUCACAGUUCCACAUUGCUAGGGAGGCAAAGGAGGAGCAAAGUCACAUCUUAAAUGGCAGCAGGCAAGAAAGUGUGUGCAGGGGAACUUCCCUUUAUAAAACCAUCACAUCUUGUGAGAUAUCCACUAUCACAAGAACAGCACAGGAAAGACCUGCCUCUAUGAUUAAGUUACCUCCCACUGGUUCCCUCAUGACACAUGGGAAUUAUGGGAACUACAAUUUAAGAUGAGAUUUGGGUAGGGACACAGCCAAGCUAUAUCACUUGCUGUGUUGCCUACGCUGGUCUCCAACUCCUGGGCUCAAGUGAUCCUCCCACAUUGGCCUCCCAGUAGCUGGGACUACAAGCUUGAGCCACUGCACCUCCUUUGCACAUUUUUAAAUCAGAUAGUUUUGUUUUUGUUGUUGUUGAGUUGUAGGAGCUAUUUAUGUAUUCUGGAUAUUAACACCUUAUCAGAUGUAUGAUUUGCAAACAUUUUUUCCCCAUUCCAUUGGUUGCCUUUUCACUCUGUUGAUUGUGUCCUUUGAUGCCGAGAAGUUUCUAAGUUUAAUGUAGUAUAAUUUAUCUAUUUUAUGGCUGGGCCUGGUGGCUCACACCCGUAAUCCCAGCACUUUGGGAGGUUGAGGUGGGUGGAUUGCUUGAGCCUAAGAGUUUGAGACCAGCCUGGGCAACAUGGCAAAACCUUGCCUCUACUAAAACACAGAAAAAUUAGCCAGGUGUGGUGGCAUGCAUCUGUGAUCCCAGUUAUUCGACUGUGUGUGUGUGUGUGUCUGUCUGUCUAAGAUCCUUUUGUUGUUUGCUUUGGCCUAGUUUCUUAUGCUUUGAGGAAAAGCUCAUUCUCAUUCAUGUGACUUGCUUUGGCUAAUAGGACACCAGAGCAUGAUGCAAGUGUGGCUUAAUCGGUGCUUGCACAUUGGGCUUGUUCUUUCCAAACCUGUUGCCCCGAUUCUGCAAGGCUAUCCUGCUGUAGAAGGAGGCCCUGGAGGACAAGACACCAUGUGGGGAAAACAGCCAUGGGGAGCAGAACCGAGGUAUCCCAGCUUAGCUCCCAACUGACAGCAGCCACAUGAGUGAGCAGAAAAACAACUUCCAAGGGUGAUUUAGCUACUGCUGCUGUGGAAUGUCAAAACUUUCAGCAAGGGAGCCCGAUGCAGAUCUGUUGAUAUGACACCAUUCCACAAGAAGACCAACUGAUGGCUUUGUGGCAAGUUGACUACACUGGGCUGUUUCUAUUCUGGGAAGACAGAGAUUUGUUCUAAGAGGAAUAGGCAUGUGUUGCAGGCAUAGGUUGACCUUUCCUGCCAUGGAGCCUCCUCUGGUACCACUAUUUGAAGGUUGAAGGAAUGUUGAUUCACCAGGAUUGAGUCAGACCAGCCAAGCCUAUGACCAUGAUGUCAACUGACUGUAUCACCUGUCACAUCAUCCAGAAGCUACAGACUUAUAAGGCAUUGGAAUAACUUGUAGAUGGCCCCGUUAAAGUACCAGCUUAGAGGCAACACUCCAUGAGAAUGAGACAUCAUCUCCAGGAUGGCACAUACACAUUGAAUCACACAGCAUUGAUAAGGAGAUGGCUCCCCAGUAGGAAGAAUAUAUUGGUCAUGAACCAAGGGAUGAAGCAGAAGUGUCUUGCUUCCUGUCCCUGCAGCCUCUCUUUCUGCAGUGCUAGAAAUCCUGGUCAAAAGGGGGCAUAAUUUUAUCAGGGGACACAGCAAAAGUCUCCACUACAUUGCAGCUAUGCCUGCUGCCUGGGGAUUUUGGGCUUCUUAUAAUUGGGACCAGCAAUAAAAGAGAAGAGUCACAGUCUUGGCAGGGCUAAUUGACCCUGAUCAGCAGGAGAAGAAAGGCUGUGGUUCCACUAUGAGGGUAGGGAAGACGUGUGGCACCACUGAUCCACUUUUGCAACCCAUGGUACUCCCGUGGCCAGUUGUGAUGACAGACAAGUGCAGGAACACUUUUGGGAAGGGCAUGGUGGCCAGAGUUCAGACCCCAUGGGAAUGAGGACCAGGGUCACACCACUGGAUAAGCCAGGAGGAAGAGAGGCCCACUGGAAGGCUGGAGGAGCUGCUCCCCAGAUGUAGAUGAAGUAGAUUUGAGCAGCACAGUGGUGGACCUAGUAGAGGCGGACAUCAAGAUCCUCUUCAAGGAAAGAUUAUCAAUAUAGUUUUCCCUGACCCAGAUUCUUCCCUUGACAUCACACCAGGAAAGUCUGACAACUUAACUUUAUUGGAUAUAGGCAACCGUUGAAUCCAAGUUUUGCCCACUGAAUCCAUCAAAUUGUUACAGCCAAUUCUAGAUGCCUGAGUGGACACAUGAAAUCCAGAUUCCCCAGUAAGCGCAUCCCCAUUAAUAAACUGACCAAAUGCAAUGUUAAUCUGUUCUAUAACCUUUAGAAUCCAUCCCAACAUAUAUUUUUUAGGUUCCUGCCAAGAUAUGUUAGCAAAAGCUUGCAAUUUUUUGAAAAAUGAAUUAUCUCUUCCUGGGACAUGUGUUGUACUUUUCUCUCUGAAAUAGGCUGAGCUCUGACUCCAUUAAAAGUCUGAAAGCAAUGAAGAGUGAAGGAGCGGAUAUUGGGGAGAAUAGGCAUCCUCUUGCAAGAUAACUGCCUCAAAGUCAUUAUAAGGUUUUCAAGCAAGAGAAAGCUAAUUUCCUUACACAUAUGAAGAAGCGUUGCUUCUCCUGGCAAGAAAUACACAGUGAAUCAGGGAUUCAAAAUUCUUAGCUUUAUCUAAGUUUACCCAGAUGUGUCUAUCCUUCCCAAUCAGUGCUCUUGGCAGGAGACUUGGCAAGUCUGCGAAGUCAACUUAUGUUAUAAUUCUGCAACCCACACAAGUUCUUAUUUUCAAUGAGGGUAACCUUGCAGCCACACAAAAUAGCAAAAUUUUUUAAGGAGUACCAUAGACACACUCUGGUUCUCUGUGUUCAGUGUUUUAAGCCUAUCUUUUUGUUCCCCUGUAAGCUCUUCAAUGUAGUCCAAAAUACACCAUCUGUGGUAGGCAGAAUUCUAAGAAGGUUCCAAAGAUUCUCACCCAUGGUGUAGAGAACUUGUAUAAUUUUCUCCCCUAAAGUGUAGGUGGAGCCCGUGAAUAGGAUGGGAUAUUAAUACCAUGAUUGUGUUAUAUUUUGAGACAAAAAAAAUUUUGUAGAUGUAAUUAAAGGUACUAAUCAGUUGACUAUGAGUUUAUCAAAAGGGAGAUCAUCCAGGUGGGCCUGACCUAAUCAUAUCAGCCCUCUAAAUCCUGGUCUAUGGGUCAGAGAAAGAGGAAGGCAGAGAUUUAAAGCAUGAGAGAAAUUCAAAGCAAACUAGAUUCUCCAUUGCUGUCUUUGAAGACAGGCAGCCAUGUGGCAAGGAAUGUGGGUAGCCGAUAGUGGCCGAUGACAGCUCCCAGCCCACACUUCAAGUUUAGCCUCGUAGGGCCCUGAGCAGGGGACACAACUAUACUGCAUUUACAAC
rnacentral:lncRNA from 10 species